AGUAUGAUAGGAGUUAUGUAUUUUUGUGUAUUUUUGCUGUUGUUGUGAAUAGGGAUAUUUUCUGUACCUGGAGAUAGUUGGCUUACCACACCCAGUUAAGCCAUUUAUCUCACACAGCCUAACUCUGUGAAACUGGUUUGGGCAGGAAAAGCCAUGCUUGCAGUGAUCACAAAGAACUUCGACCUAACUUUUAAACCAAUGGAAGGAAUUGCCUGAUUUUUUAGUAUGUUUGUAU